CGUUCAGAUACCAUGGUGAUGGGGGACUUCAUGAAUAACGAGAUAGAUAAAUGGCCUCCCAGAUGACCCCGCUGCCCAGGCUUGUCAGUCAGACACGGAAAAUUUUCCAACUGAGGGAAGGCAUCGCUGCGCCAGAUUUAUCUCUGGUGUUGGAGCUGGGAGGCAGCAGCAGGAGACCUGUACAGCCUUCGCUACUGCUGUGCAUCUCCUGCACCGGGACAAAUGUGUGCUGUCCCCAGCUGGGUAUGUGUAGGGAAACCACGCUGGUUUUGCUGGGUGCUAUUUUCAGUGCCACUUGGGUGCAGGGCUCAGAAGGAAGGCAUGAGCUGCAUGGUUACAGAAGAGUCUUACUUGGUAGUUAGAAGUAUCUAAAUAUUAAUUACAUUUUCUGCACUGAUUCUUUCCCAUCAGCGAGUCCCCUUUCAUCAUACAUUUCAGGCAAUGGAAAUGGAGUUCAUUUUAGUUUACAUUUCAAGCUGAAAUGAAUUUCUAGAGCUUCUUUAAAGAUCGUGCUCUGGUUCUGCAGGCACAGCCCUGCUGAGAUCUGUGGCAAUGCUCAGGAAGGAAACCUGAGCAGGUUGUCACAACCUCCUAAUGGGGAAGGAAGAUUUUGGCUAUUCAGGAGGAAGAAGGAGGGCACAUUUUUGCAAGGAGAUGUGUACAAAACUGCAAUGAGAAUUCCAAUUCCAUUAUUUGGUAAUGAGAUUUGUAAACCUCAUGUUCACAGGCUGAGAUAAACAAUAUAUGCUUCCUGAAUUCCUCUUGGAAGAAGAGUCCCUUACAGCACAGCUAAAUUACACAAUGCCUUGAGUCUUAUGGUCUUACGGUCCCACGUGCAUCAUCUCACCAGAAGACUAGGACUCACAUCUGAGUCUCCUUCAAUCAGCUUUCCCGGACCACUGUGAAGAAAUUGGGCCAGCCUCUGUGUUACCAUCACAUCCAUCCACCUCUGCACAUAGCAAUACCUGCAACAGCCUGCUCCAGCCCCUGAUCCUCUUCCAAGGUACCACAAGCAAGGGAAGGGCAAUCAGCAAUAUUUCCUUUGCAAAGCCUGAAAGAACCGGGAGCAGAUUGUGACAGCGACAGUCACGGCCUCCCAGGUUGCUCCCUCCUUAGGUCAUGUGCUGCCCCUGACCUGGGGCAAAGUCACGGCUAAGCCCUUCGUUCCCUUAUUAUUAAUUAAAACUUUGGAUGAAAUCCUCAGCUGGAGUAAAUGCUCAUUGCUCCUGGCCCUCACCCACUGGUUUUUGAAAGCAUACAGAAGUAGCCACAAUUCUGUCAUUAAAACUCAACUGGGAUCACACUUUUGUUGUCAAAUAAAUAAGUAUCACUGCAUCCCAUUUAGCUCUGCUAAUGCCACAUUAGAAAUAGCAUGUGUUUAACAAAACCAUGCUUUCCCCUUUUUCAAAAAGCCAUAAAUGAAGCAUUAAAAGUCCCAAUCCAUCACGGUGACAUCAGAUCAGUGGACCGUGACUUUUAUGACAUCAGAGCAAUUGAUUAUAUGACUCUUUUAUGUGUAGCCCGCUAUGCAGAGAUUGCUCUUCUCUCCAUAUAUUACAUCCUAACAUCCUGGAAUAAUCUCUAGAGAUAAAAGGGAAUCACUGUGAAGCGGUGAAGUACAGUAGUUACAGAAUUGCCAUAAAGCUGUCAUAAAAAUUGUAGAAACAGAAAUGCCUUUAAAGAUGGCACUGUUCCAUUAUGGGUCCCUAGCUAACAGUCUACAGUUGCCCUAUGCACACCUCACUAUAUUUACUGCUUCUGGAUAUUCCUGUGCCUUUUUCCCAGAAGCUUCUGUGGCUACCAAGAUGUGCAAGGCUGUUUGCAUGCAUACUGCAAGUUCCUCCAUCCUGUUACAUCAUCGCUAACAGAACUGGUGCUUUUGCAAUAGGCUACAGGCAAGGCUUCAAAAUAGCUUCAAAUAGCCAGGAAGAAGCUGACAGCGAAUGGAAGGUGUGAGCUGUUGGUUGCCAUGAAAUUGCUGAAAGACAGAUAUUCUGUGGUGCUUAUAAAGAAAAGUGCUGUUAAAAUUAAAUUUGAGGUACAUAAUAA
ensembl:lncRNA